rnacentral:rRNA from 1 species
AUGCACGCUGGCGGCGUGCUUCACACAUGCCAGUCGAACGCUGAAGCCCAGCUUGCUGGGUGGAUUAGUGGCGAACGGGUGAGUAACACGUGAGUAACCUGCCCUUAACUCUGGGAUAAGCCUGGGAAACUGGGUCUAAUACCGGAUAGGAGCGUCCACCGCAUGGUGGGUGUUGGAAAGAUUUAUCGGUUUUGGAUGGACUCGCGGCCUAUCAGCUUGUUGGUGAGGUAAUGGCUCACCAAGGCGACGACGGGUAGCCGGCCUGAGAGGGUGACCGGCCACACUGGGACUGAGACACGGCCCAGACUCCUACGGGGGGCAGCAGUGGGGAAUAUUGCACAAUGGGCGCAAGCCUGAUGCAGCGACGCCGCGUGAGGGAUGACGGCCUUCGGGUUGUAAACCUCUUUCAGUAGGGAAGAAGCGAAAGUGACGGUACCUGCAGAAGAAGCACCGGCUAACUACGUG